AUUGAACGCUGGCGGCAGGCUUAACGCAUGCAAGUCGAGCGGGGUGAUGGUGCUUGCACUAUCACUUAGCGGCGGACGGGUGAGUAAUGCUUAGGAAUCUGCCUAUUAGUGGGGGACAACAUCUCGAAAGGGAUGCUAAUACCGCAUACGUCCUACGGGGGAAAGCAGGGGAUCACUUGUGACCUUGCGCUAAUAGAUGAGCCUAAGUCGGAUUAGCUAGUUGGUGGGGUAAAGGCCUACCAAGGCGACGAUCUGUAGCGGGUCUGAGAGGAUGAUCCGCCACACUGGGACUGAGACACGGCCCAGACUCCUACGGGAGGCAGCAGUGGGGAGUAUUGGACAAUGGGGGGAACCCUGAUCCAGCCAUGCCGCGUGUGUGAAGAAGGCCUUAUGGUUGUAAAGCACUUUAAGCGAGGAGGAGGCUCCUUUGGUUAAUACCCAAGAUGAGUGGACGUUACUCGCAGAAUAAGCACCGGCUAACUCUGUGCCAGCCGCCGCCGUAA
rnacentral:rRNA from 1 species